rnacentral:rRNA from 1 species
CCUACGGGUGGCAGCAGUCGAGAAUCAUUCACAAUGGGGGAAACCCUGAUGGUGCGACACCGCGUGGGGGAAUGAAGGUCUUCGGAUUGUAAACCCCUGUCAUGUGGGAGCAAAUUAAAAAGAUAGUACCACAAGAGGAAGAGACGGCUAACUCUGUGCCAGCAGCCGCGGUAAUACAGAGGUCUCAAGCGUUGUUCGGAAUCACUGGGCGUAAGGCGUGCGUAGGCUGUUUCGUAAGUCGUGUGUGAAAGGCGCGGGCUCAACCCGCGGACGGCACAUGAUACUGCGAGACUAGAGUAAUGGAGGGGGAACCGGAAUUCUCGGUGUAGCAGUGAAAUGCGUAGAUAUCGAGAGGAACACUCGUGGCGAAGGCGGAUUCCUGGACAUUAACUGACGCUGAGGCACGAAGGCCAGGGGAGCGAAAGGGAUUAGAUACCCGUGUAGUC